AGAGUUUGAUCCUGGCUCAGAACGAACGCUGGCGGCGUGCCUAACACAUGCAAGUCGCACGCAGUUAAGGGGGCAACUCCUUGAUUGAGUGGCGCACGGGUGAGUAACACGUAGGUAACCUACCCUUCACUGGGGAAUAACCUGUCGAAAGACGGGCUAAUUCCGCAUACGUCCAAGACUGCUCCGGCAGAUUUGGGGAAAGGCGGCCCGCAAGGGCUGUCGGUGAUGGAUGGGCCUGCGUACCAUUAGCUAGUUGGUAGGGUAAUGGCCUACCAAGGCGACGAUGGUUAGCUGGUCUGAGAGGAUGAUCAGCCACACUGGAACUGACACACGGUCCAGACUCCUACGGGAGGCAGCAGUGGGGAAUAUUGCGCAAUGGGCGAAAGCCUGACGCAGCAACGCCGCGUGAGGGAUGAAGGUUCUCGGAUUGUAAACCUCUGUCGGGGGGGACAAAACCUAUGCUGGCUAAUAUCCAGCAUAAUUGAUGGUACCCCCAAAGGAAGCACCGGCUAACUCCGUGCCAGCAGCCGCGGUAAUACGGAGGGUGCAAGCGUUGUUCGGAAUUAUUGGGCGUAAAGCGCACGUAGGUGGCUUUAGAAGUCCGGUGUGAAAUCCUCGGCUUAACCGAGGAAGUGCGCCGGAAACCAUAAAGCUAGAGUAUCGGA
rnacentral:rRNA from 1 species